rnacentral:rRNA from 1 species
UAGGGAAUCUUCGGCAAUGGACGGAAGUCUGACCGAGCAACGCCGCGUUAGUGAAGAAGGUUUUCGGAUCGUAAAGUUCUGUUGUUAGCGAAGAACGUUGGUAGGAGUGUUAAAUCUACCAAGUGACGGUAACUAACCAGAAAGGGACGGCUAACUACGUGCCAGCAGCCGCGGUAAUACGUCGGUCCCGAGCGUUGUCCGGUUUUAUUGGGCGUAAAGCGAGCGCAGGCGGUUCUUUAAGUAUGAAGUUAAAGGCAUGGGCUUAACUAUAAUGCGCUUUGGAAACUUGAGGACUUGAGUGCAGAAGGGGUGAGUGGAAUUCGAUGUGUGGCGGUGAAAUGCGUAGAUAUAUGGAGGAACACCGGUGGCGAAAGCGGCUCUCUGGUCUGUAACUGACGCUGAGGAUCGAAAGCGUGGGGAGCAAACAGG